UUCUCUCCUCUUCUUACGUACUCUCCCUGAUGUGGGAUGUUAUGCAAAACCAGCUAUAAAGGAUCCGGGUACUGGUGCCGUAAUAAAGAGUGAAGCCUUCCUGAAUACCCUAAUUCUGGGCCACCUAGAAGUUGAUGCAAGAACCAAGGCACAAUCCCAUCAAAGAUUUAGUUUUCAUAGUUGCAUCAGAAAAGAAAAUUUAAUAUUCAAAGAAGCAUGCUUAAGCAAAUUAAUUCAACAAUAAAACCACUGUCCUAACGAGCAAAACUUUGAAAAGCGAACAGGCAUUUGCAAUUGUAAAUCACACCAGGAAAAGGAUUAUGGCUCUGCUCAGAAAAGCAGCAAUGGAAACAGCAUUAGUUUGAAUCAGACACCUUCCCAUAAAUAAACAAUACACAGUUCUGGAUCAGGCACCUUUCUUUCAUUGUAACAAAAGCAAGUUUAGCUUGAUAGAAUCCCAGUCAAAGUCGGUAAUUUUGUUCUAAGUUGAAAACUUUUGCAGCUUUGAAACAUUAUAUGCAUGAACAUGUUCUGUGCUGCUUCAGUUCACAUAAGACUCUCUGCCAGACAAUUGGCAAG
rnacentral:lncRNA from 1 species